GAAGUGUGGACAUGAGUGCGCUUUGAGCGCACUGUGGAAGAGCAGUGGUUUUCCAGCAAGGUCCUAGGUGCCUCUGUGGCCUUUUGUACAGUGGGCAAGUUGGGCAGGACUCAUCUUAAAAAUCAUGUGUGGGAACAUUCUCCCUGGCCAGUGAGGAAGUCUUGAAGAAUAGAGCCAUAAAGAAAGCAAAGCGCAGAAAUGUUGGAUUCGAAGUCAUGGGAGAUAGAAAAAAAUAGGAAACAUAAGGUCUGGACCUUAAAGAGAGCUUAUCCAGUUGAGGAAAUAAGAUAAAUAUAGACAAAUUCAAGUUGAGUGACAAUAUGAGAAGAAAAACGAGCAAAGCAAUACAGAGGUGGGCUAAGUGGCAUCAGAUUGGAGGAAGAAAGGAAAACACAAGGAUCUUCUGAGAGUCUUGUCUGCUCCCUGGGAUCGAGGCCUGGUCUGACAGUGGAGGAGCCUUUAAAGGUUUUAAAGGUUUGGUGGUACCUUCUGGAGGAGGACGGUUUCCUGGAUUUGGUAGUGGCGCUGGAGGGAAGCCUUUGGAAGGACUGUCGAAUGGAAACAACAUAACCAGUGCCCCUCCCUUCACCAGUGCAAAGGCAGCGGCAGAGCCCAAGGUAGCCUUUGGUUCUCUUCCUGCAAAUGGCCCUACCGCCUUGGUUGAUAAAGUUUCAAAUCCCAAAACUAAUGGGGACAGUCAGCAGCCCUCCUCCUCUGGCCUUGCUUCCAGUAAAGCUUGUGUCGGAAGUGCCUAUCACAAGCAGUUGGCCGCCUUGAACUGCUCCGUGCGGGAUUGGAUAGUGAAGCACGUGAAUACAAA
rnacentral:sRNA from 1 species